UGAGGAAUAUUGGUCAAUGGGCGGGAGCCUGAACCAGCCAAGCCGCGUGAGGGAUGAAGGCCCUAUGGGUCGUAAACCUCUUUUGUCAGGGAACAAAAGCGAGUAUGUAUACUAGUCUGAGUGUACCUGAAGAAAAAGCAUCGGCUAACUCCGUGCCAGCAGCCGCGGUAAUACGGAGGAUGCGAGCGUUAUCCGGAUUUAUUGGGUUUAAAGGGUGCGUAGGCGGCGAUGCAAGUCAGCGGUAAAAGCCCGGGGCUCAACCCCGGCGAGCCGUUGAAACUGCAGUGCUAGAGAAGGCGAGAGGUACGCGGAAUGCGCAGUGUAGCGGUGAAAUGCUUAGAUAUUGCGCAGAACUCCGAUUGCGAAGGCAGCGUACUGGCGCCUGACUGACGCUGAGGCACGAAAGCGUGGGGAUCGAACAGGUUAGAUACC
rnacentral:rRNA from 1 species